GUGGUGCUUCUGCAGGAGGUGAGAAACUGUGCUGCGCAGAGGCUCGCGCGCAGCCUGCCUCCUCUCGAGUCGGCUGCAGAUGCCAGCAGCGAUGAGAUGGGCUGGAGAUAGCGGGAUGACGUGCCGGGACUGAGCAUGGCUCUUCUCCUCUCCUGUGCCGCGCUUGUGCUCCUGCUGCUGCUGGCUUUUCCUCAAGAGGCUCUCAGAUGUCGUGAGAGCAAAGUGAUUCUCGUGACCGAGGGGGAGCCCAUCUCGAUUGCGUGUCCUUUCCACGAACACUGUGGCACCGAAGAUACCUUCUAUGAGAUCAUCUGGAGCUAUGAGAAGGACUCGAGACGGAUCCUGCAGUUUAGGACAACACCUCCCAAGAACACCUCCAUUGUGUUACGCAAUGAAGGUCACUUCAGCGGUCAGCUGGAUUUUCGAAGGCGCAUGAGCUUUCUCAACAUCUCAGAAGUGCUUAUAAAUGACACUGGCCGUUAUCUCUGCUACGUGAAGGUCAGCAACGCAGUGCAGCCUCCGAGGGCCUCCGCUGCUCUGCGCCUCGAGGCAGCAAAGUCAUCUUGGACUGUGAUUUCACCACCAAUGUGA
rnacentral:lncRNA from 1 species